rnacentral:lncRNA from 1 species
UCUAAUUUCAGAGCAUCAGUCAUUCCCCCCCCAGCUUCUUCCUCCUCCUCUUCAUCGUCAUCUUCGCAAUCUUAAAAAGUGAGAAAGGAAAAAAGAAUGACAUGCUGCAGGGCUUCAGCAAGGGGAGCAAGCACAGGGGGAUUCAGUAAGGGAUGUUAGCUUGUGGAGAAUUCCAUGUAAGCUUACUUUACAGGGCUGCAAGGACAAAACAUGACCUCCUCAGUCUGAGGUAACAGUUUUUGCUGGUUUUUACUCUUCCCCUCCCUCCCCUCAAGUCCCCUCACUAAAAAGCAAUGGAUUAACCUGGCUAAAUAAAGAAAUAAAUAAAAGCCCAAUAACAUGACUAGUCUUGCAAGAGAUUAAAAGGACAGACAGCAGAAAAACAACAGGUUACUACAAUGCCAAGAUAUGUCAGUAUACCGCUGAACAUGGAGCUUAAAAAUAAGAUUAUCAGGUAUCCAACUUUUCUUCUGUUUAUUAGACACUCCAGAAAACAAGGCACAGCAACACACUUGCCCCCAGACGAACAAGCUAAGGAGUUCACAGAACUCCCCAUCACUAUGUUCAUUUUCAAGCAAACUGCCACAAACACACCUUUUGUAAGUGAAAAAAUUUUCAUUGCUGUAAUUCCAACUUUUUUUUCUACUCAUGCUGGGGCUCCACCACCGUCAGUCACUCCCGCUGCCUGUAAUUACACCGUUUUUGGUAGUGGAUAGUCCUCAAACAUACAAAUGCUAUAAACAGCUAGAAACCGGGGAAUGUUCAUGUUUUUUACUGUAGGUUCUGGGCACCAGUCUACAGAGCAGCAUGGAUUUACGUUUCAUGGUUACUUUCUGGAAGGAAAACUUUCAUCUUGCUCCUCCUUCAAUUGUUAAAAAAAAAUCUCUGUUGUGCACAUUAACAGCCCUUACCUUCUAAUUCUUCAUCUUCACUUUCUUCUUUGUCCUCCUCACCUCCCUCUUCCUCAGAGUCAUCUUCCUCCUCACUCCCGGUGUCAUCUUCUGAUUCACAGCUGUUCCCACCGUUGCUUUCUAAGAAAGAAAAAAGAAGAGGGGGAUUUGAAACAAGUACAGCACCAGAAUUCCUGCUCAGGAUGUUACAUAGGAAGCGAAACCCCAAAUUUCCUCGUGAGCUUCUCAGUAGCGUCAAAGCCAGCAGCUCGGAGCAACUCAGAAGAAGCACGCCAGCAGUUUGAGAUGCAGUGCUUAGAAAUAAAACAUUUUUAAGGCAAAGAGAAAAAUGGUCACAAUACAGCUUCACUUCUUUUGGAAGGUUUAAAAAAAAGAAUCAUGUUCUCAGACCUCCAACUGGAAAGGUGGAGGCACCGAGAGCCCGCAGGUUACCUGUUUCACUGAGGAGUGCCAGACUCUGCCUUUUGCCCUUGCCCAGCGCGGCGUUCUUGUUUAUCAGCUCAUCCUGGCUGUCAUCAUCCAUGGCAGGACAUUGGGAAUCCGCUCCCUGCAAGAAGGCAGACAGCAGGUGAGGCAACACAGCACCUAAGCAAUCGCAGAGGGUAUUGCUACCACACAAGUGCUGAGUGACACUUGGUUCUUUUUAUUUUUCUUCUGGUUCGAUCUACAACAAUGGAGGUCUGGCUUUGUGCUGCUGGAAAGCAGCUCUUACAGGAGGAGAAAGAAAACCCAUUUAGUUUUCCCAGUUUCUCCUGAAACCAUCUUCUUGUGCAACUCAUUGCAGGGGAAAAAAAUUCAGCUUAUUCUUGGAUGACCAAAAAAAGCACAGCCAGACCUCCCCACUAAAGGCAGGAGAAGAAAACCUGCCAACACCAAAACCAUCCUGCAUACUAGCUGUAAGGAGCAGCAUCGAAAGGGGCCAGAGGUCAGCCUGCCCUUCGGAUGAGGGCUGACGGGAUGAAAAGUAGAGGUUUCAAAUCAAGACACUUCAUCCUGCUCAAUUCCAACGAAACAAGAACAAAGAGGAUGCGUUUUAGGUCUUUUUCUACAAAGGCCUUUUCACAGCUCCAUCGUGAAAUAGGAGAGCCUCAGAGCACAGCAACCGCAGCAAAGAGGCCACUUCAUUGGGCGCAUAUUAAUGCAAUCAAAUUAAUUGCAGUGCAUUAGCAGACUGGCAAUAAAACUGGCAGAUACCGAGAUGGCUCCUGAUCCAAAUCCAUACCGACGACCAAACCACAUCUUUCAAGCACGCGGUGCUACAAAGCGUCAGGGAAGGAGGAUCGCUGCUCCAUAAACAAGCCGUGGCUGAACACAGUUAAGGGACACUCACAAAGCUUGCUGUCAUAACUCAGCAAGGAGGAGAAAUUGGAUUCUUCUGCAAACGUGGCAAAGAAGUUUCGGGUGCUCUUCUCCCCCUCUCCCUGCUCUGCAUUAUGCAGCUUACAUAUUAAAGUCAUUUUUGGAACAAAACAUUAUGUUUUAUUCAAGCUCUCGAAGCACAUCCUCGCUCGUUCACUCCCUUUUUUGAGCCACGUAGCACAGCUCUGCACUUAAGAGCCCUAAAAAUGCAGCCUUUGCUAAGGCAGGCUGAGUUGUAAACGCAGCCUUCGCUGCUCAGGAAAAAAGGCUAAAAAGAUCAAGCUCCAGGACAAGCGGGUUCCUGGUCAGGAUUUCUCCUAACUUUGGUGAGAAUCUUGCCUAAGCAGAGGAUUAAACUAUCUGAAUUCGUGGCUGUUCACAGGAGCGCGGAAAAAUGGUUUUCGUUGGCUGAAAACACGCAGACUCAUCAAAAGGCAGGCGCUGCAACGUACCCAAACCAAACUGGGAAGAACCACUGGUUUCCACCAGGAACGCGCCAGUUCCAGCACUGCGCACGGAUGAAUUAUUCAGAGCGAAGCCGCUUACAUAAGAACCUCCCAAAUGGGAGCUCACGAAGCUGGAGCUGGGGAGCAGCACAAUUUCACGAGGGGUGACUUGUGUUUGUCCCAAACCUCCUCAUCUGGCAGGAGGUGGGAACGCCUCUGUGACCCCACCACUACAUUCAAGCAGCCACGGAUCUCCCCAGCCCCCGAGGAGCUGGCAAAACCCAAUGGGGUUUGCCUGAAGGUCUGGGCAGUAAAAAACAGAAAUCUGAUUUGUGGAGAGUUUGAAACAGGUAAGGAGGAGCCAGGCAAAGGUGAAGGUAAAGAUCUCACCGCGUGAACAAACUUCUCAAAUCUGAGCUGCUCUCAAGGAAAAGGGAAGCGAGGCGGGCUGUGCUCUCCAUACGAUGGCUCGUCCUCCUGUUCCUUGAGGACAACAAGCAGCACUUCCCAGUUUUUCUUCUCAGGGGAGACGUGUCAGCAUUUAUGGCACACGUCAGGGCUGCCCAACCCGUACAAAAGCACAGCUGUCACCCCUGGUCCCUAUCCUCCCUCCACCCCGCCAGGAGCUGGGAGCAGCAGAUAGCAAACAGAACGAUUCUUCCUGAAAAGAAAGUUGCUGGAGAAGGAGGUUGUGCUCAUCCCCUUGAGGCCACCCUCAGCUGCACACCUCCAACACAGGGCCAGGAUGUGUUGGAGCACCACCCUAUUUCCAAGGCAAUGCAAGCACUUCCCUUGAGCUGCGUUAGCAAUUUGUUUGAACGUUUCCUCUAGAAGAGGGGGUUGUCAGAGAAGCACCCUGGCUUUCUAAAACCCCACGGACUGCCACAAAUGGGGAUUCUGACCGGCUGGGAGCACGCCGCAGCCAGGAGGGAAGGGCUAGAUUAGAGGCAGGAGAUCUGCUGGGCAAGGCGUUUGUUUUAACCUGCGGGAGGGGCACUGGGGACAGGGCCCAGGCAGAGAAGGAGCCAGCUGGGUCUCCUCACUGAAUGCUGAUCUAAUUUCAGGGGUAAUUAUUGCUCAGCCUUGUUCCGGAGAGCACUUGUAACUACAGCGAAGGCUACCAAAUAUUCCAGCAUGCACUCGCACUGCCAUAGCCGCUUUGUUAUUACCAUCAUUCCCCCUCCCCAGUGCACCCUUUUCUGUCUCAAACUGGCAGAUGCCACACACCUGGAAUCGAAGCCAAACGCUCACAAACUCACCUGCUACAUUGAAAAAAAAAAAGAUUUGUAAAGGAUGUUUUUAUACACAGGGUGCGUGGUGCACCUGGCACCUGCCGGGACGUUAAGAGGGGCUGUGCAGGCACCGCAGGCACCUCAACGAGCGCCCUACAGCCCAGUGCCAGCCUAACGCGCCCGGGAAGCUUUACCAAAAUCCCUCCGGGCCUGAAUCUCGCUCAGCCUUUCCCCCGUGUGCGUUACAGAAGCGUUUAACUCCCAAAGCCCGGUACCGAAACGCUGCGGGGGCUUCCACCGCUCGGAGCCCUGAGGAACCGACCUGAAAAACCGACCGCGGGGCGGCCGCGCUCACCCC